rnacentral:lncRNA from 1 species
GGAAAUUAGGGCUUUUAUGUUCCAUCUUUUUGUUUGAUCGGUCAAAGCCUCAAAGGGAACGAAAGAUGAACAAAUACGAAAGCAGAUAGAAUGCACGAACGAAUCGUCGGCAGCCAAGAAGGAAGCACGAAGGCAGGGUUCCUUUUUGGUCCGAUGUUUGUCGAUCUAUCGCAAGGAGGGGGUGAAGCAUCUCCGAUUCUUGUGCUUUUCUGAUCGGGGAUGGGAAGGACUCGAUCGAAGCAGGGAAACAGACGAACAAGACUACCGACGGUGACUGACGAUCGCGAGGGGGAGGAUGGCAUCUAAGGGGUCGACGAGGCCGAAGAAAGAAUGUGGGAAGAAGCAGCGAGGCUGCUCGUGAUCUCGGUGGAAGCAGCGAGGCGCUGCUCAAGCAGUUUCUCGGCUGCUUGCUUCAGUCCCGAUAGCGGGGUGCGAAGGGAAAUGCAAGUGUGAGGGGCGAGGGGCAAGGCCAGAAGAGGGGGUCUCGUGGGAGGAAACUAACAGCAGUAGUAGUUCGAGUGGGGUGUUUCGCAGCGGAGCUCGUCGAGAUGGAAGGCAUGAUGCGACGGAGGCUGCUCCGGCACUCUCCCUGUUGCUUCUGGUUUUCUUUUACUCUUUUUUUUUUUUUUUUUUUAAAAUCAAUGGGACUUUGGUGUGUGUUUGGGUUUGAUUUUUGACAGGAAAAAGAAGGAAGAAAUCACUAGGUGUUUGGCUUUGUUGUGUUCGUCGUGAGAAAGAGGGGAAGGAAACGAGGCUGCUGCCUCUUGGCUUUCAUAGGUACAAUCCAACUUCUAGUAGUGUGUUUACUUGGCUGAAAUCUCAAGAAUGAAUGUUUGGUUGUUUCAUUUGACAGGGAAAGAAAAGGAAGAGGGGAGAGGAGCUGAACAAGGUGACGAAUUCAGGAGUGUUUGUGGGUUUGAAUUUGAUGUUUCAUUUGUGGGUUUGAUGUUUCGGGAGUGUUUCAUUUGGGUUUGACAGCUUCAAUUGAGAAAGGAAACCCGUUUCCUUUCCUUUGUGGUUUUGUCUAAAAAAUGUUUUACUUUGUGUGAGGUUUUGGUUAAGUUGAAAUGUGAAACUGUGAAAGAAAAUAAUGGCUUUUAAUUUGUUUUCUUUAUAACUGUGUAUAUAUAUUUGGUGUACUUCGUAUUUGAGUGUGUAAUUGGUGUACUUUGUAUGAGACUUGUAAUUUGUGUGAGACUUGUAACUAAGCAAGCAAUCCAUUGAUUUAAUAAGGAUGUAUUUUGUAUGUGUAUUGAUGUAUUGCUUAAUUAUUCAUGUAUUUGUGUAUUGUUUAGAUGUGUUGUACUAGCCCAUAUAUGGCUGGUAUAGUAUAGUGGAGAGUU